rnacentral:rRNA from 1 species
CUGCUAAUACCGCAUAAGCGCACAGUGCUGCAUGGCACAGUGUGAAAAACUCCGGUGGUAUGAGAUGGACCCGCGUCUGAUUAGCUAGUUGGUAAGGUAACGGCUUACCAAGGUGACGAUCAGUAGCCGGCCUGAGAGGGUGAACGGCCACAUUGGGAGUGAGACACGGCCCAAACUCCUACGGGAGGCAGCAGUGGGGAAUAUUGCACAAUGGGGGAAACCCUGAUGCAGCGACGCCGCGUGAAGGAAGAAGUAUUUCGGUAUGUAAACUUCUAUCAGCAGGGAAGAAAAUGACGGUACCUGACUAAGAAGCCCCGGCUAACUACGUGCCAGCAGCCGCGGUAAUACGUAGGGGGCAAGCGUUAUCCGGAUUUACUGGGUGUAAAGGGAGCGUAGACGGCAUGGCAAGUCUGGUGUGAAAGGCAGGGGCUCAACCCCUGGACUGCAUUGGAAACUGUCAGGGUGGAGUGCAGGAGAGGUAAGUGGAAUUCCUAGUGUAGCGGUGAAAUGCGUAGAUAUUAGGAGGAACCCCAGUGGCGAAGGCGACUUACUGGACUGUAACGGGCGUUGAGGCUAGAAAGCGUGGGGAGCAAACAGGAUUAGAUACCCGGGUAGUCCACGCCGUAAGCGAUGAAUACUAGGUGUCCAGGGAACAAAGCUUCUUUGGUGCCGCA